CAAACAAAAGGUUUUUGACUAGUAAAAGUAGGCAAAGCCCAGAAUGACAACAAGCAUCUAUACCGGGCGAGACAAUAGAUGGGUAAGAGAGCAAGCCCACAAUUAUCAACACGAAAAAAAUUGAAGCAGUGGCUGCAGUGCACGUGAACAAUCAAGUGCAGAUCCGGCCUAGUAAAGGUGAUAUACUUGAAAUGCCGUUCAUCAGAUUACCUUCUCUCUUCCUGGCAAUUUCACUCAGACACUUGAAAUUUCAUUGAUUGAUAGCGAAGAAGAAGCAACUUCCAUCACUCCAGCAAAUGGUGAACUAUCAAUUUGCUUCUAGUUGAUCUUUUUACAUGUAAAUAACACUUUGUUUGCUUCAACAAGUCAUUUUCACAAACAGUUUGUGCUCCAUUCUGUGAUCUUUUAUUUCUUCUUCUGAUGCUUUGGCUUUUGAAAUUCUCGAGUCAUUGCUAGAAUUACAAGAUUAACAUUAAUGGGUUCUUCGGUUCUAGAUUGUAAAAAACCCGCAUUGCAGAUCCAAUCACUGGAACAAAUCCACUUUAGUGCAUUGCUUUGCGGUAGGUAUGAAAACAUUUCUUACUCAUAGAAAUGACUUAAAUUUGAUAUGGGGACAUUGAGUUUUUUCGGUCUGUUUUUCACUCUUUGCCGGUAUAAGAAUGUGCAAGAUGCUACCACUUGAUCUUUUGCGAUAAAGAUGUUGUGUACCAGCUUAACUCAGGGUGCUUCUUAGGGAAUCUCUCUCUUAUGACAAUGAUGGCUUCUAACUUUCUCACUUCAUUGAAUAAUCCAUGCACGAAAAGCCGAUGAGGCUGAAGGGGUUUUGGAUUAUUUCUUGUGGACUCAUGGUACAUCCUCCCUACAAUUUACAAACUUGCUGUGAAUUCUUUUGUAUUCUCAUUACAGGGGAAGAAAUGUGUGCACUCUUCAAGAAGGUGAGAGAGAGAUGGGAUGCCAGCUGAUGUAUGCACAUCAUGUCUAAAAUUCUGUCUAUGGUAUUAAUAUGACAAUGAGUUUAGAUUGUGAGAUGAAAUGCGAAUGUUUCAAGUCCUGAUCGUAGCUUAUUUGUUUUGUUGGUAUAUUAGUUUUUAUAUGGAAAGUUGGAUGCAGCCUGCAAAUAUUGCGGUUUGGAACAAACAAAGAAUGGCUAUUGCUACAACUGAAGAUAGUUGAGAUGCUCUGGUACUUGCUGUCUACUAAGCAAAUAACUGAUUCAAGAGGUGAUCAAUUGUGUUGCAGUCAGACAGUAAAUCAAACCAGAACCAUCUCUAAGAAAACUGAUAAUGGGAAAGACUUUCUCCUGCAAGCCGACUCUAAAAGAGUUGUGAUAGCCUGAGAGGGAAUGGAUUUUCUUUUUGGAGCGGUUGGUUCUUGUUUAAUUUAUUAAAUCUCAAUCAGCAGUUCUCAACUUACAGCAUCGAAAGCUCUAUGAACUCAUGUACCACUUUUUAACUCACUCAACUAAAUGCCAAUCCCAAGCUAGUUGAGGAUGUCAUUUUCAAGGCUCAAUAAUGGGGCUUCAAUCAACUUCAUUUUCAUUUGAGUGGGAAGUGGCAUUAUUAUGCCAGUCAGUUAUAUCAGUGCUCUUCUUUUGACCAAGGGUUAUCACCAUCAAUAUCAUCGUGAGAGCAUGUUACCAAAUACCAACUGGUUUUAAGAGAGUAGUCUGUUGGAUGCCAAACCACCGUGUAGCUUUAGGAACACCAGACGCUGAACAGAGGACAAAGAGUAGUAACAGGAAGUUAAAAUCUGGCUUCUCGUUUUUGUUUUCUGCGCAAGGACCAAUAGGUAUUGAAAACAAGUUCUCCAUUUCUUUCUCUAAAGCAUUUUUGCGAUAAGGUUAUGGAGAAUAAUCCAUAACCUGCGGAUUCUUGUGAGUUCCAUGUUUGGCCUAACUCAUCAUGUUGUGGCUCAAAUGAGAAACCCGGUCCUUCAACAUUUGACAUGGGGUAGCAACUAGCUGCUAGGUUAGGUGAGCUACACGUUGAUAACGACAAGGGGUCAUAAUCAACUUUGACCAUUUCAUAGUUGGAAAUCAGCUAGCUAUUGCAUGUUCAUACUGCAUGCUUGUCAUGCCUAUUGACCAGUCCAACAUACAUCUGUGCAUCACGAUCUUGCGUUCACAGUCAAGGAGAUAACAACCAAUCACAUGUCAUUCUAGUGCAAAUGUUUUCAAGCUGCAGCGCACCAUGCAUGUUUGGAUGAAAAGAUGUGGAAUCAAAUGCCUAUGAAAUACUUUUCUUAUCAAUAUAAUGAUCAGAUAAGGAUGAUUUUGGCUUUUGAUGGGAGUGGCGAACCAGGGGAGUUUUCGUUUCUGUUUCUACCUUUGAGGUUAAUUGAAAGUCAAGGCACUCAGAAGAGCGUGGGGUGUCCUAUUGACCAUCCAGGAGGAAUACCUUUAAAUUCUCAUCUGAUAUUGGCUUUACCUUUACCUAGGUAUUCUUUGUUCUUCUGUCCAUCUAUAAAGCUCAAAAACUGCGACUGGGACAAAAAUCAUGGGCUACUUGUCAAGGGACGGCGAGAAAAAAUAAUUUUUAUAUUCCAUUUUUGGCACGUGGGUAUGUGAAUUCUAGCUGAACAAGUUACCUAGUAUAUGACUUGUCCAAAAAAAUACAGUUACCUAUUAUAUGGGAAAGGAGAGCGGAACAUUAGAUAAGUGAAAACCCCUGAGACUUUUGCUUUACAUCACACAUGACAUCAUUCGGAGCAUAAAUCUUAUUCCUCAUGGUAAAUGAUCUAGCUGGAAUUGAUUAAGGGUUGAUUUUGAGCGGUUAGGGAAGAAUUCAUUGUAGAUAGGUUAUAUGGAUACCAUAUCAGAUAUGUUUAUGGACAUGUUUAACCAUAAGAGAAGGUCCAGUAGCUCCGAACUAGAAAGAUAAUUUAAAAAUCAUAACUUUUUAUUUGAUCGUUGGAUUAAAUUUAAUUUUUUUACAGGAAUUUCUAGAGGUUGUUUUUUCUAUAAUAGCCCUCAUGUGAAUUGUCAGAUCUUGAGAUAUCAAAAAUCUAACUCUCAGCUGUUUUGGGUCAAUUUUGUUGUUUUUUUAAUUUUAUGUGUUGUUUUGGAAUUCAUGAUUAUUUUGUUUGUAUUUUUGAAUUUUUAUUUUGUUUCCUAGUUGGGAUAGGUUUUAUGGGCUAAUUAAGGUUUUGUAAACCUUGGAAGGAGACGAUCUUUAUCAAUAUUAUUUUCCUCAA